rnacentral:rRNA from 1 species
AUUGAACGCUGGCGGCAUGCCUAACACAUGCAAGUCGAGCGGAGCGUCGAACGGGUAAGGAAUGACUAGGAAUCUACCUGGUAGUGGGGGAUAACUUCGGGAAAGAGGCGAUAUUACAGCAUACGAUCAGAUGAGCAUAGGGCGGAUUAGCUAGAUGGUGGGGUAAAGGCCUACCAAGGCGACGAACCGUACCUGGUCUGAGAGGAGGAUAAGUCACACUGGUACUGAGACACGGCCCAGACUCCUACGGGAGGCAGCAGUGGGGAAUAUUCGACAAUGGGCGAAAGCCUGAUCCAGCCAUGCCGCGUGAGUGAAGAAGGUCUUCGGAUUGUAAAGCUCUGUUAGUUGGGAGGCGUUACCAACACAAUAAGCACCGGCUAACUUCGUGCCAGCAGCCGCGGUAAUUC